AUUGAACGCUGGCGGCAGGCCUAACACAUGCAAGUCGAGCGGGAACUUCGGUUCUAGCGGCGGACGGGUGAGUAAUGCGUAGGAAGCUACCCGACAGAGGGGGAUACCAGUUGGAAACGACUGUUAAUACCGCAUAAUGUCUACGGACCAAAGUGUGGGACCUUCGGGCCACAUGCUGUCGGAUGCGCCUACGUGGGAUUAGCUAGUUGGUGAGGUAAUGGCUCACCAAGGCGACGAUCCCUAGCUGGUUUGAGAGGAUGAUCAGCCACACGGGAACUGAGACACGGUCCAGACUCCUACGGGAGGCAGCAGUGGGGAAUAUUGGACAAUGGGCGCAAGCCUGAUCCAGCCAUGCCGCGUGUGUGAAGAAGGCCUUCGGGUUGUAAAGCACUUUCAGUAGGGAGGAAGAGUUGAGUGUUAAUAGUACUCAGCUUUGACGUUACCUACAGAAGAAGCACCGGCUAACUCUGUGCCAGCCGCCGCUGUAAAAC
rnacentral:rRNA from 1 species